rfam:Oreochromis niloticus linkage group LG22, whole genome shotgun sequence.
GCCGUGAUCGUAUAGUGGUUAGUACGCUGCGUUGUGGCCGCAGCAAACCCGGUUAGAAUCCGGAUCACAGCA